rnacentral:rRNA from 1 species
AGAGCGAACGCUGGCGGCAGGCUUAACACAUGCAAGUCGAGCGGGCGUAGCAAUACGUCAGCGGCAGACGGGUGAGUAACGCGUGGGAACGUACCUUUGGUUCGGAACAACCCAGGGAAACUUGGGCUAAUACCGGAUAAGCCCUUACGGGGAAAGAUUUAUCGCCGAAAGAUCGGCCCGCGUCUGAUUAGCUAGUUGGUGAGGUAAUGGCUCACCAAGGCGACGAUCAGUAGCUGGUCUGAGAGGAUGAUCAGCCACAUUGGGACUGAGACACGGCCCAAACUCCUACGGGAGGCAGCAGUGGGGAAUAUUGGACAAUGGGCGCAAGCCUGAUCCAGCCAUGCCGCGUGAGUGAUGAAGGCCCUAGGGUUGUAAAGCUCUUUGUGCGGGAAGAUAAUGACGGUACCGCAAGAAUAAGCCCCGGCUAACUUCGCGCCAGCAGCCGC